CAAAAUAAAACUAAUUAGUUUAGUAUUUCAGUUACGUUGAAACCAGUUAUCGUGCAAAUCGGUAUAUUUUGA
rnacentral:tRNA from 1 species